rnacentral:rRNA from 1 species
GUGCCAGCCGCCGCGGUAAUACCGGCAGCACAAGUGAUGGCCGAUAUUAUUGGGCCUAAAGCGUUCGUAGCUGGCCGGACAAGUCCGUUGGGAAAUCCACGCGCUCAACGUGUGGGCGUCCAGCGGAAACUGUCCGGCUUGGGGCCGGAAGACCCGAGGGGUACGUCCAGGGUAGGAGUGAAAUCCUGUAAUCCUGGACGGACCGCCGGUGGCGAAAGCACUUCGAGAAAACGGAUCCGACAGUGAGGGACGAAAGCUAAGAUCGCGAACCGGAUUAGAUACCCGGUAGUCC